AGUGAACGCUGGCGGUAGGCCUAACACAUGCAAGUCGAACGGCAGCACAGUAAGAGCUUGCUCUUACGGGUGGCGAGUGGCGGACGGGUGAGGAAUACAUCGGAAUCUACUUUUUCGUGGGGGAUAACGUAGGGAAACUUACGCUAAUACCGCAUACGACCUACGGGUGAAAGCAGGGGAUCUUCGGACCUUGCGCGAUUGAAUAAGCCGAUGUCGGAUUAGCUAGUUGGCGGGGUAAAGGCCCACCAAGGCGACGAUCCGUAGCUGGUCUGAGAGGAUGAUCAGCCACACUGGAACUGAGACACGGUCCAGACUCCUACGAGAGGCAGCAGUGGGGAAUAUUGGACAAUGGGCGCGAGCCUGAUCCAGCCAUACCGCGUGGGUGAAGAAGGCCUUCGGGUUGUAGAGCCCUUUUGUUGGGAAAGAAAAGCAGCAGGUUAAUACCCCGCUGUUCUGACGGUACCCAAAGAAUAAGCACCGGCUAACUUCGUG
rnacentral:rRNA from 1 species